rnacentral:rRNA from 1 species
GACGAACGCUGGCGGCGUGCUUAACACAUGCAAGUCGAGCGGUAAGGCCCUUUCGGGGGUACACGAGCGGCGAACGGGUGAGUAACACGUGGGUGACCUGCCUUUAGCUCUGGGAUAAGCCUGGGAAACCGGGUCUAAUACCGGAUAUGACUCCGCGGCGCAUGUUGUGGGGUGGAAAGCCUUGUGCGGCUGGAGAUGGGCCCGCGGCCUAUCAGCUUGUUGGUGGGUGAUGGCCUACCAAGGCGACGACGGGUAGCCGGCCUGAGAGGGCGACCGGCCACACUGGGACUGAGACACGGCCCAGACUCUACGGGAGGCAGCAGUGGGGAAUCUUGCGCAAAUGGGGCGAAAGCCUGACGCAGCGACGCCGCGUGAGGGAUGACGG